GUAACGAGCGCAACCCUUGUCCUUAGUUACCAGCACGUAAUGGUGGGAACUCUAAGGAGACUGCCGGUGACAAACCGGAGGAAGGUGGGGAUGACGUCAAGUCAUCAUGGCCCUUACGGCCAGGGCUACACACGUGCUACAAUGGUCGGUACAAAGGGUUGCCAAGCCGCGAGGUGGAGCUAAUCCCAUAAACCGAUCGUAGUCCGGAUCGCAGUCUGCAACUCGACUGCGUGAAGUCGGAAUCGCUAGUAAUCGUGAAUCAGAAUGUCCACGGUCGAAUACGUUCCCGGGCCUU
rnacentral:rRNA from 1 species